GGGUUGUGAGGUUAAGCGACUAAGCGUACACGGUGGAUGCCCUGGCAGUCAGAGGCGAUGAAGGNNUCGUCACACUAUCAUUAACUGAAUCCAUAGGUUAAUGAGGCGAACCGGGGGAACUGAAACAUCUAAGUACCCCGAGGAAAAGAAAUCAACCGAGAUUCCCCCAGUAGCGGCGAGCGAACGGGGAGGAGCCCAGAGCCUGAAUCAGCAUGUGUGUUAGUGGAAGCGUCUGGAAAGGCGCGCGAUACAGGGUGACAGCCCCGUACACAAAAGCGCAUGUGCUGUGAGCUCGAUGAGUAGGGCGGGACACGUGGUAUCCUGUCUGAAUAUGGGGGGACCAUCCUCCAAGGCUAAAUACUCCUGACUGACCGAUAGUGAACCAGUACCGUGAGGGAAAGGCGAAAAGAACCCCGGCGAGGGGAGUGAAAAAGAACCUGAAACCGUGUACGUACAAGCAGUGGGAGCNNGUGACUGCGUACCUUUUGUAUAAUGGGUCAGCGACUUAUAUUCUGUAGCAAGGUUAACCGAAUAGGGGAGCCGGAGGGAAACCGAGUCUUAAUUGGGCGUUAAGUUGCAGGGUAUAGACCCGAAACCCGGUGAUCUAGCCAUGGGCAGGUUGAAGGUUGGGUAACACUAACUGGAGGACCGAACCGACUAAUGUUGAAAAAUUAGCGGAUGACCUGUGGCUGGGGGUGAAAGGCCAAUCAAACCGGGAGAUAGCUGGUUCUCCCCGAAAGCUAUUUAGGUAGCGCCUCGUGAAUUCAUCUCCGGGGGUAGAGCACUGUUUCGGCUAGGGGGCCAUCCCGGCUUACCAACCCGAUGCAAACUGCGAAUACCGGAGAAUGUUAUCACGGGAGACACACGGCGGGUGCUAACGUCCGUCGUGAAGAGGGAAACAACCCAGACCGCCAGCUAAGGUCCCAAAGUCAUGGUUAAGUGGGAAACGAUGUGGGAAGGCCCAGACAGCCAGGAUGUUGGCUUAGAAGCAGCCAUCAUUUAAAGAAAGCGUAAUAGCUCACUGGUCGAGUCGGCCUGCGCGGAAGAUGUAACGGGGCUAAACCAUGCACCGAAGCUGCGGCAGCGANNGUUGGGUAGGGGAGCGUUCUGUAAGCCUGCGAAGGUGGCCUGUGAGGGUUGCUGGAGGUAUCAGAAGUGCGAAUGCUGACAUAAGUAACGAUAAAGCGGGUGAAAAGCCCGCUCGCCGGAAGACCAAGGGUUCCUGUCCAACGUUAAUCGGGGCAGGGUGAGUCGACCCCUAAGGCGAGGCCGAAAGGCGUAGUCGAUGGGAAACGGGUUAAUAUUCCCGUACUUGGUGUUACUGCGAAGGGGGGACGGAGAAGGCUAUGUUGGCCGGGCGACGGUUGUCCCGGUUUAAGCGUGUAGGUGUGUGUUCCAGGUAAAUCCGGUUCACUUUAACACUGAGGCGUGAUGACGAGGCACUACGGUGCUGAAGCAACAAAUGCCCUGCUUCCAGGAAAAGCCUCUAAGCAUCAGGUAACAUCAAAUCGUACCCCAAACCGACACAGGUGGUCAGGUAGAGAAUACCAAGGCGCUUGAGAGAACUCGGGUGAAGGAACUAGGCAAAAUGGUGCCGUAACUUCGGGAGAAGGCACGCUGACACGUAGGUGAAGUGAUUUACUCAUGGAGCUGAAGUCAGUCGAAGAUACCAGCUGGCUGCAACUGUUUAUUAAAAACACAGCACUGUGCAAACACGAAAGUGGACGUAUACGGUGUGACGCCUGCCCGGUGCCGGAAGGUUAAUUGAUGGGGUCAGCGCAAGCGAAGCUCCUGAUCGAAGCCCCGGUAAACGGCGGCCGUAACUAUAACGGUCCUAAGGUAGCGAAAUUCCUUGUCGGGUAAGUUCCGACCUGCACGAAUGGCGUAAUGAUGGCCAGGCUGUCUCCACCCGAGACUCAGUGAAAUUGAACUCGCUGUGAAGAUGCAGUGUACCCGCGGCAAGACGGAAAGACCCCGUGAACCUUUACUAUAGCUUGACACUGAACAUUGAGCCUUGAUGUGUAGGAUAGGUGGGAGGCUUUGAAGCGUGGACGCCAGUCUGCGUGGAGCCGACCUUGAAAUACCACCCUUUAAUGUUUGAUGUUCUAACGUGGACCCGUGAUCCGGGUUGCGGACAGUGUCUGGUGGGUAGUUUGACUGGGGCGGUCUCCUCCUAAAGAGUAACGGAGGAGCACGAAGGUUGGCUAAUCCUGGUCGGACAUCAGGAGGUUAGUGCAAUGGCAUAAGCCAGCUUGACUGCGAGCGUGACGGCGCGAGCAGGUGCGAAAGCAGGUCAUAGUGAUCCGGUGGUUCUGAAUGGAAGGGCCAUCGCUCAACGGAUAAAAGGUACUCCGGGGAUAACAGGCUGAUACCGCCCAAGAGUUCAUAUCGACGGCGGUGUUUGGCACCUCGAUGUCGGCUCAUCACAUCCUGGGGCUGAAGUAGGUCCCAAGGGUAUGGCUGUUCGCCAUUUAAAGUGGUACGCGAGCUGGGUUUAGAACGUCGUGAGACAGUUCGGUCCCUAUCUGCCGUGGGCGCUGGAGAACUGAGGGGGGCUGCUCCUAGUACGAGAGGACCGGAGUGGACGCAUCACUGGUGUUCGGGUUGUCAUGCCAAUGGCACUGCCCGGUAGCUAAAUGCGGAAGAGAUAAGUGCUGAAAGCAUCUAAGCACGAAACUUGCCCCGAGAUGAGUUCUCCCUGAGACUU
rnacentral:rRNA from 1 species